rnacentral:lncRNA from 1 species
UGUGAUCAUGCCACUGCACUCCAGCCUAGGCAAGACCGUAAGACCCAGUCUCAUAAAACAAAACAAAAGCAAUAACCUCUCGAUUGGAUAAUUGUUACUGUUUUGGUUGCAUUUGAGUAAGAGACAUUGCUGACUAUGAAGAGUCCUGUGUUUCCUCUGUUGGACAAAGCUGGACUCUGUGACUACUCAGUUCUCCAUGGAACUAGCCAUAGAAUCUUUGAAUGUCCGUGAAGGAUCUUGGAGGACUAGUACACUCCCCUCAUCUUACAGGCCAGGCAUUCAGCGCAUGCGCCGUCCUGACAGUGCGGAGCCCAACAGCUAUAUUCCCCGGUGUCUGCGCCAGAGGAGUUCACCAGCAGCAGCUGGCUGCACUGGCUGAAGUGCUUGAUUCUGAAAGACAGAUGGUAGGGGCGGGACGGGCAGGCGAUGGGGAUGGCCCGAUACUCCUAGUGGGCAGCAUUUGGUCUACUGACAGUCCUCCCUCCCAUCACCAACUUUCAUCACCCACCCACCCACCCAAUCUUUCCCCCUUUCUCAAUGGAUCUGUUAGGAUUUGCAUUGGCCCCACCCGUAGUUUCUGAUUGGCUCGCCUAACCCUCCUUCCCUUUGACUUUGCACUUCACGAAUGGAAUGCCACAAGCGUCUUUGUGCUCCUCGGCACCUUCCUGAUGUCUCUUGGUGCAAGCCUGCAAAUGCUUUCCAUGCACUUCCACCCACAAAGGAGGCAGAGUCCCAGAGCCAUCUUAAGAGGCUGAAGUGAGAGAGGAUAGGCGAAUCUUUGGAACCCAGUUUUCUAUCCCAGCCUCUGCCUGAUUUCCUUCUGGACUGGCAGAGGGAAAUACUGGUGGGUCAACUUUGCUUUCAUUUUUGGCCUCCCUAUUAUGGUGUCCUUGGCAGAAGAGUGGUAUUCAGCCUGCCAUCCGCCACAGAUAGGUCAGACAGGCAGGCAGCCUCUUGCUUUUCCAUUGCCACGUCCCUCCCUAGAGGCACUAUUUGUGGUCCACCCCCUACCCUCAUUUAAGCAGCCCAGGAUUGUGGGAAGGUUGCUUGUCUCCUACUCUGUUCAAUCACUAUGCAUCUGAUGGGGCUCGCGGGCCCAUCUUACUGUUUCUUUUAGGUGCCUAUGGUUGUACAUAACAGGAUGCCCAGUGUGGGUCCUGAGCCAUCUUAAUCCCUGUAAACUGUUGUCACUGUGCUUGUGAACUGCUGCCCAACAUCCUCUGACACACUCCUAGACCCAUUAAAAUUUUGCCAGAGUUCUUCCACCCCAUACCUCAGGCGUCCUUCGCCCCUCCUCCUCCAGAUAUACAGGCACCCUCCAGUGGACCACCUUCCCCCUGCAGUGCUGUUCCAGGGGCUCAAAGAGUCCCCAACCUUCGGGAAUCGGGCCUUCCCUACACCUGGGUCAGGUGGGGGGCUUGGGGUUGCAGAGGCUAUAGCCUCCAUGGGGGUCUUCAUCUGCAUGGGCUUCUGGCUCCCGUCUGCUUUGGGUUUUCUCUGGCAGGGGGCUCCUGAAAGCUGCACCUCACUGGGGCCAGCUGCUUUGGAGCCCCUCAUUUUCUGAGCCUUUGGAGUUCUGCCAUGCUCCGGGAUUUCACCUGCAGAGAAAACAGGGUGGGUCUGGGAUCACCAGCCUUCAUUCACCUCAGUGGAACCUCAGAGUUCUGUCAAUUUUUACAUUUAUUACUACCACAAAUAAUUCUUACUCAGA